rnacentral:guide_RNA from 1 species
AUAUAAAAUGUAUUAUCAUCAGAUUAGAUAGAUGUAGAAGAUGUCAAU